CAGUCGCCGCGGUAAUACAGAGGAUGCAAGCGUUAUCCGGAAUGAUUGGGCGUAAAGCGUCUGUAGGUGGCUUUUCAAGUCCGCCGUCAAAUCCCAGGGCUCAACCCUGGACAGGCGGUGGAAACUACCAAGCUGGAGUACGGUAGGGGCAGAGGGAAUUUCCGGUGGAGCGGUGAAAUGCGCAGAGAUUAGGAGGAACACAGUGGCGAAGGCGGCUUUUUGGCCUGUAACUGACACUGAGGCGCGAAAGCGUGGGGAGCAAACAGGAUUAGAUACCCGAGUAGUCCCUGUCUCUUAUACA
rnacentral:rRNA from 1 species